AUUUAGGUAGUUUAAUUAAAAUAUAGAUCUGUGGAUUCUAAGAAAUUUAUUAUUCUAAAUU
rnacentral:tRNA from 1 species